rnacentral:rRNA from 1 species
UUGACAUCUCGGGAAUCAUUUGGAAACAUAUGAGUGCCUCGCAAGAGGAGCCCGAUGACAGGUGCUGCAUGGCUGUCGUCAGCUCGUGUCGUGAGAUGUUGGGUUAAGUCCCGCAACGAGCGCAACCCUUGUCUUUAGUUGCCAUCAUUAAGUUGGGCACUCUAAAGAGACUGCCGGUGUCAAACCGGAGGAAGGUGGGGAUGACGUCAAGUCCUCAUGGCCUUUAUGACCAGGGCUACACACGUACUACAAUGGCAGGUACAAAGGGCAGCCACUUAGCGAUAAGGCGCGAAUCCCAUAAAACCUGUCUCAGUCCGGAUUGGAGUCUGCAACUCGACUCCAUGAAGUUGGAAUCGCUAGUAAUCGCAGAUCAGCACGCUGCGGUGAAUACGUUCCCGGGCCUU